rnacentral:rRNA from 1 species
GAUGAACGCUGGCGGCGUGCUUAACACAUGCAAGUCGAGCGAAGCACUUUUGCGGAUUUCUUCGGAUUGAAGCAAUUGUGACUGAGCGGCGGACGGGUGAGUAACGCGUGGGUAACCUGCCUCAUACAGGGGGAUAACAGUUGGAAACGGCUGCUAAUACCGCAUAAGCGCACAGUACCGCAUGGUACGGUGUGAAAAACUCCGGUGGUAUGAGAUGGACCCGCGUCUGAUUAGCUAGUUGGUGGGGUAACGGCCUACCAAGGCGACGAUCAGUAGCCGACCUGAGAGGGUGACCGGCCACAUUGGGACUGAGACACGGCCCAAACUCCUACGGGAGGCAGCAGUGGGGAAUAUUGCACAAUGGGGGAAACCCUGAUGCAGCGACGCCGCGUGAGCGAAGAAGUAUUUCGGUAUGUAAAGCUCUAUCAGCAGGGAAGAAAAUGACGGUACCUGACUAAGAAGCCCCGGCUAACUACGUGCCAGCAGCCGCGGUAAUACGUAGGGGGCAAGCGUUAUCCGGAUUUACUGGGUGUAAAGGGAGCGUAGACGGCAUGGCAAGCCAGAUGUGAAAGCCCGGGGCUCAACCCCGGGACUGCAUUUGGAACUGUCAGGCUAGAGUGUCGGAGAGGUAAGCGGAAUUCCUAGUGUAGCGGUGAAAUGCGUAGAUAUUAGGAGGAACACCAGUGGCGAAGGCGGCUUACUGGACGAUGACUGACGUUGAGGCUCGAAAGCGUGGGGAGCAAACAAGAUUAGAUACCCUGGUAGUCCACGCCGUAAACGAUGAAUAUUAGGUGUCGGGUGGCAAAGCCAUUCGGUGCCGCAGCAAACGCAAUAAGUAUUCCACCUGGGGAGUACGUUCGCAAGAAUGAAACUCAAAGGAAUAGACGGGGACCCGCACAAGCGGUGGAGCAUGUGGUUUAAUUUGAAGCAACGCGAAGAACCUUACCUGGUCUUGACAUCCCCCCGACCGUCCUUUAAUCGGGGCUUUCCUUCGGGACAGGGGAGACAGGUGGUGCAUGGUUGUCGUCAGCUCGUGUCGUGAGAUGUUGGGUUAAGUCCCGCAACGAGCGCAACCCCUAUCUUUAGUAGCCAGCAUUUCGGAUGGGCACUCUAGAGAGACUGCCAGGGAUAACCUGGAGGAAGGUGGGGAGGACGUCAAAUCAUCAUGCCCCUUAUGACCAGGGCUACACACGUGCUACAAUGGCGUAAACAAAGGGAAGCGAGCCCGCGAGGGGGAGCAAAUCCCAAAAAUAACGUCUCAGUUCGGAUUGUAGUCUGCAACUCGACUACAUGAAGCUGGAAUCGCUAGUAAUCGCGAAUCAGAAUGUCGCGGUGAAUAAAAUCCCGGGUCUUGCACA